GAGGGUAUAGCUCAGUGGUAGAGCGUGUGCUUAGCAUGCACAAGGUCCUGGGUUUAAUCCCCAGUACCUCCA
rnacentral:tRNA from 1 species